CUCAGUUGGAAGCCGAAGGGCGUGCUCUGAUGUUGGAAUGUAGUGGAAAACUGUUGAAAGACAAGUUGACCCACUAUCAGACUAUAGCAGAAAACUCUGCUGUAUACAUAGCGGCGAAUAAAUAUAAGAAAAGAAGGGGUAGGAUUAACAAGAAUAAAGUUUAUAAACAUAUAGCUGCCGCUAGUGUGGAUCGGGACCCUAGUAGAUGGGAUGGGGAUAUCUGGGAUUCAGACUCGGAUGAUUGGGAUGAUUGUCCCGAUGGUCCUGAUUGUCCUGAUCCAGUUAUGGAUCCCCCAUCUGCUAAGGCAUUUCCGGUGCUACGUAGGAAGGAAAAAACUACCUUAGGACCGGAAAUAAGGGAAAAAAAUAGGGUAAGAGUGUGGCAUACAACCCUCGGUUGUCUGCUACACUCACAGCAGAAGGGGAUGGCAUGAGUAGUCAAUAUGCGGAACUCAUGGCUGUUUUCCUUGCCCUGAAAAAAGAACAGGGAGAUCAAUGUCAUAUUUUCACAGACUCAUGGUCGGUAGCUAAUGGCUUGGCUACUUGGUUAAUGGGCUGGAAAAAACAUGAUUGGGUUAUACAUGGAAAGGAAAUCUGGGGAAAACAAAUUUGGCAGGAAAUAGAGGAGAUAGAACUAACACUACUGUUUUCCAUGUUGAUGCUCAUAUGCCGAUAGACUCUCUUGAACGUUUGUUUAAUUCCCAAGCAGAUGCGGCAAUGGCCAUAUCCACUAUAUCCAAGUCAGAGGAUAGAGAAACUGAGUCAUGGCUGGAAGGUACAGCCGUUUGGGCUCACCAAAAAAGUAGACAUCUUGGAGAAAAGGCCACUUACAGAAUCCACUAAGACAUUGUGGCAUCGCCCUUGGUCUCCUUGGUAUCGUGUGGUUGGCAUCCUACGCAGACGGUAAUACACCCGGACACAAGCUGAGCCUGGCUGAAUCCAGAAAUUGGACGUGGGGAUGGAGAAACUAUUCUAAAACCAGGAAACAGGACAGUGUUACAUGUGAAGCCAAUUGACUCUGCAUUUGUUCUUUGCAAACCCUACAGCAGCAACAACAGAAAGGGUUGUUCCAAACCAUGUUGUUGACGGGGAAUGAGGAAGUUUGGAGGACCGUGUUUAACUCUUUUGUAAGGGAAAAACACUGGCUGGACAUCAAAGCGCCUAAAAUAAGGUGUAAUGAUAUGUCCUGUACCGGUAAAUUGGUCUACUACAAUGUGACUAAAAGUAGUAUAAUGUGUAAGUUUGUAGUAUUACCAAUGUUAAUGGGCCCAGAAGGUAAUCAACAUUUUUGGGUACCUACAUUUUAUGGACAAGUAAUUGAUAGCAAUAAUAGCACACAUGAUUUAACUUUCUGUGAUGACACUCUUGAAGGUAAAAUCUGUAAGUUACAGUCUGCUGUAUAUGAGCCUUGCUUGUUACAGAACACUGUAAAUAAAUGCGAGUGGACCAUAAUGCCUACGUCAUACCGAUGGAUGGUUGAAGUAGCACCCCAGGUGAUAUGCGUAGUGACAGAUCGUCAGGUGGUCCCUAAAAUGAGGGUGCCUUUUGCAGGAUGCAUACACAACAUCACGGUUAUUCAAUGGGAAAAUGAAACUUUUAUGUUAAAUCCAGAUAAUGAGCUAAGCACCAAGGUGUUAUGGCAAGACACGGCUUUAGAAGUCCCUAAUUGGGAUCUAAAUUUGACUAGACUGAAAGCAAUUACAAAUUUGAACAGGAGUAUCACGGGACACAAGCUCUUUACUACGGUAGUGUCUGAUAAAAUAGUAAAAGUAGGAUCCGCCAUAGCGGACGCUACAUCCCAUCAUUGGUGGGACAUAUUCAUGGGGUAUUCCCCAUCAGCCAGGACUACCAUGGAUUGGGUGGUUCACCUCUUGUUGGUAGUCAUGAUAGUAGUAAUUGUACUAUCUAUUUGGAAUUGUUAUGUAGCCUACGGUAUAUGUUGUAAAAAACGAAAAAUGAUAAUGGUUUCCUAUACCAACGGUCAGCAUUAAGGACCGAAUGUGAUGUAAAUCUGAUACGAAUGUGUGUAUGACUGGAGGGCUAUAGGAAAAGGGCCCCCCAUAGUUAUAUAAAGGAUAGGUAGACAGGAAUUCCUUUUACAUCUUAGGUAAUGCUGAUCGUCUCAUAAGAAACCAUUCUACAAGAACAUUAGGUUACUGCAGUUCAUAAAGACAUGUUGUAGGAACUGUAAUCAUCUACUGAUAACGAAAAAUAGCUCAUACCAGCAAUCAUACAAUUGGUUCAUAGGGACACCGCCCGUUGAAAACAGAGUACUGAGCAUGCGUAGAACGUGAUACUCUUAUAUAAUAGUAUGUUGCAAUGCGCGUAAUAGUAAGCGCGCACAAACAGUACUUAACUAUAACUAGUGCUGUUCAUGAGGAAAUGGCUACAAGCCAUCCAAUCAUAAUGAAGCUCAUGACUGAGCAUCCCCAGGAUGCAACAAGAUGAUGGGUGGAGUUAUGGGCAUAUAGGCAGAGGAUCUUUCCCAUUUGGUUGGGACUGUUCCACUGCUGACGAGCCGUGUGAUGUGUAUGCGCUGCCUCCUGAUGAAUCGCUGGUCCCCCGAUAUGGAGUGAUGAUGCAAUAUCCGGUAAUGUAUUGAUUCUUACUCUAUGAUUGAUUUAUCCACGAUUUCACUGUAUACUCUAGAAAACUGUAUAGUGACCUAAGUAUUCAUAUAAUAAAUCAUUAAUAACAGAGA